rnacentral:rRNA from 1 species
UACGAAGGGGGCUAGCGUUGCUCGGAAUUACUGGGCGUAAAGCGCACGUAGGCGGGUCGAUAAGUCGGGGGUGAAAUCCUGGAGCUCAACUCCAGAACUGCCUUCGAAACUGUUGAGCUUGAGUUCGGGAGAGGUGAGUGGAACUGCGAGUGUAGAGGUGAAAUUCGUAGAUAUUCGCAAGAACACCAGUGGCGAAGGCGGCUCACUGGCCCGAUACUGACGCUGAGGUGCGAAAGCGUGGGGAGCAAACAGG